GAUGAAGAACGCAGCGAAAUGCGAUAAGUAAUGUGAAUUGCAGAAUUCAGUGAAUCAUCGAAUCUUUGAACGCACAUUGCGCCCGCCAGUAUUCUGGCGGGCAUGCCUGUUCGAGCGUCAUUUCAACCAUCAAGCCCCAGGCUUGUGUUGGGGACCUGCGGCUGCCGCAGGCCCUGAAAACCAGUGGCGGGCUCGCUAGUCACACCGAGCGUAGUAGCAUACACAUCGCUCAGGGCGUGCUGCGGGUUCCGGCCGUUAAACCCCGUUUUUACCCAAGGUUGACCUCGGAUCAGGUAGGAAGACCCGCUGAACUUAAGCAUAUCAAUAAGCGGAGGA
rnacentral:misc_RNA from 1 species